rnacentral:tRNA from 1 species
GCUUCGAUAGCUCAGUGGUAAGUUCUCACACCGAACCAGAAAAAAAAAAGAAUUAAGCUCUAGUUCCAUUCCUAACAACCCACACAGGUAGAGCGUAGGAUUGCAGAUCCCGAGGUCACGCGUUCGACUCGCGUUCGGAGCU